GACGAACGCUGGCGGCGUGCCUAAUACAUGCAAGUCGAGCGGACCGACGGGAGCUUGCUCCCCUAGGUCAGCGGCGGACGGGUGAGUAACACGUGGGUAACCUGCCUGUAAGACUGGGAUAACUCCGGGAACCCGGGGCUAAUACCGGAUGCUUGAUUGAACCGCAUGGUUCAAUCAUAAAAGGUGGCUUUCAGCUACCACUUACAGAUGGACCCGCGGCGCAUUAGCUAGUUGGUGAGGUAACGGCUCACCAAGGCGACGAUGCGUAGCCGACCUGAGAGGGUGAUCGGCCACACUGGGACUGAGACACGGCCCAGACUCCUACGGGAGGCAGCAGUAGGGAAUCUUCCGCAAUGGACGAAAGUCUGACGGAGCAACGCCGCGUGAGUGAUGAAGGUUUUCGGAUCGUAAAACUCUGUUGUUAGGGAAGAACAAGUACCGUUCGAAUAGGGCGGCACCUUGACGGUACCUAACCAGAAAGCCACGGCUAACUACGUGCCAGCAGCCGCGGUAAUACGUAGGUGGCAAGCGUUGUCCGGAAUUAUUGGGCGUAAAGCGCGCGCAGGCGGUUUCUUAAGUCUGAUGUGAAAGCCCCCGGCUCAACCGGGGAGGGUCAUUGGAAACUGGGGAACUUGAGUGCAGAAGAGGAGAGUGGAAUUCCACGUGUAGCGGUGAAAUGCGUAGAGAUGUGGAGGAACACCAGUGGCGAAGGCGACUCUCUGGUCUGUAACUGACGCUGAGGCGCGAAGCGUGGGGAGCGAAC
rnacentral:rRNA from 1 species